rnacentral:rRNA from 1 species
AUGGAACUGGCCCUUAAAAUUACAACCAAGAUUACAGUUGGUAUGAGUUACUUGCUGAGAGUCAGAAAUUACAACCAAGAUUUUGUAACACGACUUUUAAACCAAGAGAUUUUUCAUCUUAGAUGCUACCGACAUGAGCUGGUAAUGUCGUGCUACCAUGGAGAAAACAUAGCUAGGGCGCUCCCCGGCCUGGAGCUCUGCUACUCCAUGACGCGGAGGUUCCUCGACAAGCAGACGGCGGUGGUCGGGCAGGUGUAG